rnacentral:rRNA from 1 species
UACGGAGGAUGCAAGCGUUAUCCGGAUUUAUUGGGUUUAAAGGGUGCGUAGGCGGAAGCUUAAGCGUGAGGUGAAAUGCCCGGGCUCAACCUGGGAACUGCCUCGCGAACUGGGUUUCUCGAAUGUCCGUGCCGUGGGAGGAAUGUGUGGUGUAGCGGUGAAAUGCAUAGAGAUCACACAGAACGCCGAUUGCGAAGGCAUCUCACGAAGGGGUGAUUGACGCUGAGGCACGAAAGCGUGGGGAUCAAAC